UACGAAGGGUGCAAGCGUUAAUCGGAAUUACUGGGCGUAAAGCGUGCGCAGGCGGUUUGUUAAGUCUGCUGUGAAAUCCCCGAGCUCAACUUGGGAAUUGCAGUGGAUACUGGCAAGCUAGAGUAUGGUAGAGGAAGGUGGAAUUCCCGGUGUAGCAGUGAAACGCGUAGAGAUCGGGAGGAACACCAGUGGCGAAGGCGGCCUUCUGGACCAAUACUGACGCUCAUGCACGAAAGCGUGGGGAGCAAACAGG
rnacentral:rRNA from 1 species